GUGUCAGCCGCCGCGGUAAUACGAAGGGUGCAAGCGUUAAUCGGAAUUACUGGGCGUAAAGCGCGCGUAGGUGGUUUGUUAAGUUGGAUGUGAAAGCCCCGGGCUCAACCUGGGAACUGCAUCCAAAACUGGCAAGCUAGAGUAUGGCAGAGGGUGGUGGAAUUUCCUGUGUAGCGGUGAAAUGCGUAGAUAUAGGAAGGAACACCAGUGGCGAAGGCGACCACCUGGGCUAAUACUGACACUGAGGUGCGAAAGCGUGGGGAGCAAACAGGAUUAGAAACCCGUGUAGUCC
rnacentral:rRNA from 1 species